rnacentral:misc_RNA from 1 species
AGUUAUGGACGUCUCAUUGGGCAAGAGGGCGUUCUUUUAUAUUCGACAGGGGCGCAUGAGCGUGCUGACUUAUACAGAUAGGCGCCCUACUGUUAAGGACUUCAUAUUGGGGGCUGAUGAGAGCGAUUGCCCAGACUUACCCCUAGGGAAGUUUUACUGCCCUCGCCGACGGGAGUAUGUCGGCUCUGAUGAAGGCUGGUGCUGG